AUGGACGCGAGCAUGAUGCGUGAUGCGGAGGGCGACGCGUCUGGGACGCGCGAGGCGAAGGGAGACGUAGCGAGCGCCGCGGCGGAGGUGGCCGGCUGGACGGUGGUGCGGCCUGCCGCGGGGCGGCCGCGGAGGGGCGCGCUGCCAGAGGGGCGGCCCCCUGCUCCGUCCUUCUCCGGCAGCCGGUUCUGGGCGCUAGAGGGGUUUGACUCCGACAUCGACGCCGACGAGGUAGGUUCUCAGGUGAGUUUAGGUAGUUCCGGUGGUUCGCCGAGGCCCAAGGAUGGGUGCUCGGUGGGCGAUUUCAUCGCCCGUGCGGAGGAGCUUGGGGGCUCCUUCGUGGCUGGUCGGCGGCGUGCUUUUGCUCCCGGAGGGAAGGGAGGCCGCCGCCUGGCGGCGCGGAUCUGGUGCCCGCCAAAGGGGGUGGAUGCGGGCCCAGAAGGCCGCUCGUGCGCCAUUCCGGUGGCGGUCCACCGAGAUCUGGUGCUGGCGGAGCCCCCUCGGGCCCUUUCGUGCCUGCCGGAGCCGGCCGGGGCUGGCGACGGCGGCGGCGGGGCUGGCCGGGCAGGGGCUGCACGGAACCUGGCUAGGGUUUCCGGGGCACCGACGGCUGGGCCUGUUCCGGUGUUGGGCCAAAGUGACUGGCCCAGCCUGCCAGGGGGUGGGCUGGGGGACCCUGCGUUGGGCCAGCAGGCUUCAGCGCCUGCGGGGCCGGUGGGCUCAAUGUUGCUCUCCACCGUGACUGGGCCAGGAGGGGGGCAGGGGCUACCCACCGAGUCGGGGCUAGUCCAAUCAGGCCAAGUGGCCGGUUGCGAGCCUGCGCCUCGGCCCGGGCCCAGCGUGACGGAGAAGCCGAGGCCAUCUCCUCUUAUUAAUAGGUGGAUGUGGGUUCCGAAAGGAACCCUAGAUCUAUCGCUAGGGUUUCCUGCCUCUCCCACGCAGGUGCGGCGCUUCGGACAUCUCGCGCGCCGUCUGCUCCGAUCCGCCCCUCCUCCUCCCCUUUCGUGCUCAUACGCCACUGCGGUGCGGAUGGGGUCCCGCCGGAGUGACAAGCCCCCCAUGGCACCCCGAUCCCGGCGGCGGAGCGACAGCGUGAAAAGGAUCUGCGGGCGAAGGCGCUCGCCAAGGAUCAGGAGAUGUGCCAAGUGGUGGUGGGCAGCAACGAGACGGGUUUCAACCAGUACGGAUCCAACAUGA
rnacentral:rRNA from 1 species